rnacentral:rRNA from 1 species
GAUGAACGCUGGCGGUAUGCCUUAUACAUGCAGGUCGUACGAGAGUUUUUAACUCAAGUGGCGGACGGGUGAGUAACACGUAAGAAUUUGCCUUUAGGAGGGGGAUAACAACUGGAAACGGUUGCUAAUACCCCAUAUGCUUUCGAGUGAAAUGGUUUUUCCGCCUAAAGAGAAGCUUGCGGCUGAUUAGCUUGUUGGUGAGGUAAUAGCUCACCAAGGCGACGAUCAGUAUCUGGUUUGAGAGGACGAUCAGACACACUGGAACUGAGACACGGUCCAGACUCCUACGGGAGGCAGCAGUAGGGAAUUUUCCGCAAUGGGCGAAAGCCUGACGGAGCAAUACCGCGUGAGGGAUGACGGCCUAUGGGUUGUAAACCUCUUUUUUCAGGGAGGAAUAAAUGACGUGUACCUGAAGAAUAAGCAUCGGCUAACUCCGUGCCAGCAGCCGCGGUAAGACGGAGGAUGCAAGUGUUAUCCGGAAUCACUGGGCGUAAAGCGUCUGUAGGUGGUCAAAUAAGUCAACUGUUAAAUCUUGAGGCUCAACCUCAAAACCGCAGUCGAAACUAUUAGAC